rnacentral:misc_RNA from 1 species
GAUGAAGAACGUAGCGAAAUGCGAUACGUAAUGUGAAUUGCAGAAUUCAGUGAAUCAUCGAAUCUUUGAACGCAUAUUGCGCUCUCUGGUAUUCCGGAGAGCAUGCUUGUUUGAGUAUCAGUAAACACCUCAACUCCCUUUUCUUUUUUGAAAUUGGAGCUGGACUUGAGUGAUCCCAACGCUUUCUUCCAAGAAAGUGGCGGGUUGCUUGAGAUGCAGGUGCAGCUGAACUUUUCUCUGAGCUAUAAGCAUAUCUAUUUAGUCUGCCUAAAAAACAGAUUAUUACCUUUGCUGCAGCUAACAUAAAGGAGACUAGUUCUUGUGCUGACUGAUGCAGGAUUCACAGAGACAGCUUCGGCUGACUUUGUAAACUCGAUCUCAAAUCAAGUAAGACUACCCGCUGAACUUAAGCAUAUCAAUAAGCGGAGGA